rnacentral:misc_RNA from 1 species
GCCUAAGUCAUCAUGUAGGUCCUGUAGAAGGUAUUUAGUGGCGAGUUACUUAGAGUUUAUCACUAAGAAGACUGAGUAAGACUGAAGUGUCAACGCUCACCCAAACAACGGACGCGCGCACAAGGAACAAGCCAGGGGGGAAACUCUGUCAAGAAACUACUCUCUUAUGAUAGUUUAUACACGGGUUACUUCAUUCCCAUCUGCCGAGUGUUCACAUCACACCACUCUGGCGUACCGGCAUUAAAAUGGGACAGAAGAAGGGUUCUGUGGAACCCCUUGUGGUCAGGUGGGGAUCACAAUGACCUUCAUGAUUCUUGAAUCCUGCCAUAUAACUUCAUUGGUUUUCAAGCAACCACCAGGUUCAAGGCAUCAGCUUCUAGAUAGCAAGGCCUGUGAGUCCUGAUAAGUGACCUGUGGGGUGUACCACUACUAAAGGCAUCCAGACAGAACCAACUAUUACUGCAGCUCUUAGCAUUAGGACACAUUAUCCACAUGGACAAAGUGUAUGCUACAACACUCUCCUCAUCCAGUCAAUUUAUAUUCAAAUCCUGAAUGAUAUUUGUCUCAAGAUCUGUGAGGCCACAAGUCAGGAGUCAACUCAGAAGCUUCACUUGGUUUCCAAGCCCAUAAACCUCACCUCUAGCUUCUCAGUUCCCUGGUGGUAGCCGUACAUAGACAGUGGAGGUACUAUGAGUGAGAAGAGAAAGAAAAGUAGAGUAGAUCCUGCUGCAUCUGAUGGCAUUAAGAAGAAAAAAGCAAGCUAUUACUUUUGAUGGGAAAAUUAAAGUAUUCCCCUUCAAAAUCCCCUAAGAACCAAACUUCUACCUCCAAGCAAUAAUUACUCUUGUCCAUUAUGCAAGUGGAUACAAUAAUUUAAGGUAAGAAACUGAGAUGUCACAAUAUUCUUACUGUACAACUGGCAGGAGGUAAAAUUAGCAUGUGUUGUUGGUGAGAAAUCAGAUAAAAUUAAGUUGAGAAUAUUGUUGAAUGUACCUCGGGUAAUGCUGUCACUGUGUCACAAUUACCAUAAAUUUAAUGUUGUUACUUAGGUUUACAUUCUUAGGGAUUAUUUUUAUGAAAUUUUUCUCAAAUAAAAGGGUACAGUAUUUCACUUCACUUAAAAACAUAUACAACUUUGAACUAUGUCUUUUAGGUUAAAAAAGUAGUAUAAUAAAUAUGUCUGAAAUGCUGUAAAAUGAUGAGAUACACUGAGGUUUUCUUUGAAUGACAUUUUUUUCUAAUAAAAAAUAAAUAAAAUAAAAUAUUCAAAUAAAAAAUGCAAAGUCA